AGGCUUGCAUCGGCGUGGAUAAGCAGAUUUCUGUAUAAUCACCACCUUCGAUACAACGAUCGAUACGGAAGCAUGCUUCAAACUGUCUCUAACACUUCCAACACAGAGAAUAUAAAGGACAAGAAUAAUCAACAAGUACCGUUUUUGGCAUUCAUAAGAGCAGCAACUGAUAACAGAAAAGAAUGGCAGAAUAGACACUGGAUUCCUGUUUCAGAUGCUUGCAUCCCUUGUAAGAUUCACUAUGACUACAUAGCACACACAGAGACGCUAGCUGAUGACCUGCGUCUCUUUCUCCGGAAA